UUUCACAUCAAAUGCAUGUGGCUUUGACAUCGUCGUUUUGACUCCAGAGUUCCAGUAUCCUAUCAACUCUGGCCCUUUCGCCCGCCUUCUAUACCGCGGCCAUGAAAUCUACUCUAAUGGGUUCUCUCAAAUUCCAGUUUCCUCCACUGAAAAUCUGCCAAAUUCCCCAGAAACUCCACUUUCAGGCAUCCAUUAUCACCUGCAGCCUGAGGGGAGGGCCAAGGAAACCCUUAUGGAGGUCAAAGAGAUUAUCAACAGAAGCUAUACAAGCAAUUCAAUCCCUGAAAUUGGCCAAAUCAUCCACUCUCAGAUUGGAAGAGGUUUUCAACAGUAAACUCUCCAGGCUCCUCAAAGCUGACUUGCUAGAUACACUUGAUGUCUUGCAAAACCAAAAUGAAUUGGAUUUGGCUCUCAAGGUUUUCGAGUUUGUGCAAAAGGAAGUAUGGUAUAAACCAGAUAUAUCAUUGUAUCAAAGCAUGAUUCAAAUGUUGGGGAAGAACAAAUUGAUUGAAGUGGCUGAAGAAUUCUUUUCUAAAGUAGAAGAGGAAGGGUUGAAGCCUGAUACAAGAACAUAUACUGAAAUGAUUGGGGCUUAUCUACGAGCGGAUAUGAUUGAUAAGGCAAUGGAAACAUAUGGCAACAUGAAGGCUUCAGGUUGUACCCCAGAUAAAUUAACCUUUACAAUCUUGAUUAGGAACCUUGAGGAUGCUGGAAGAGAAGAGCUUGUGUCAUCUAUAAAGAAAGAAUGUGGUGAAUAUAUGGAUUAUCCUGAGAAAUUCCUUGAAGAAGUUGAGCAGAAAAAACAUGUAAAAAGGCAAACGCUGAAACUUGUUUGAAGACUUCACCAAUUCUUGUGUUGCCAAGAUAUCAUGGUUGAUUUACUGUGGUCAGGGACUUUGCUAAGCUCUCAGUUUUCAUGAAGCAUUUUUAAUUUGGACGUCUCAAAGCCACCUAGCAGAAGAGCACAUGCACAUGAGAGUUGUUGAGGCAACAAAGAAUCAUUUGACAAAUUGGCUUUUGCACCACGUUUACUUGUGUGCUCGUGGAGGGAGAAAAAUAAUUGCAGAGAAAUAGAGUAUUUCAAGCAUGCAACUGUUAGUGCAGAGGAUGUAACUGUGAUUCUCACCGUCAAAAGAAAACUGGUGUAUAUGUACACAAGGAAAUCUGGUAAUGCAUC